rnacentral:tRNA from 1 species
CGGGACGUGGCGCAGCUCGGUAGCGCGCCUGAAUGGGGUUCAGGAGGUCGCGGGUUCGAAUCCCGCCGUCCCGA